rnacentral:misc_RNA from 1 species
GUUAAAUACCGCCACGUUUCCAGCGUAAACAUGAAUUGGAUUUUCAGCGAUGUCGAUUAUAUCUAUUGACUUUUAUCAUGUGUUCCUGUCGUUCUGGUAAAUUAUAGUCUCUUAAUUCGUGAGAGAGAACACGGAAUGUCGAUAUAAAGAUGAAAUUGGGUAAAGAUGUUUAAAGGACCUCGAGAAUUGAGCCAGGUUGACCUGACGAAAUUUGCGGGACACAAAGAUGAGGUAAACUGUGUAGCCUUUUCGGUGGAUUUUGAGUUUGUGGUGACAGGCAGUGAUGACCAACGUGUUCGAGUGUUUAACUGUAAGACAGGGGAGCUGGUGUGUAAGCUUAAAGGACAUACAGGUAAUUACAUGUACAGGUAACAUAGCUUAAUUAACAAGUAACUGAAAGACAGGAGAGCUGUGUGUAAGCUUAAAGGACAUACAGGUAAUUACAUGUACAGGUAACAUAGCUGAACAAGUAAAUGUAAAACAGGGCAGCUGUGUGUAAGCUUAAAGGACAUACAAGUUAUAUGCACAGGUAACAUCGCUUGACAUGUUAAUAUAGAAAUGUAUAUCUUAGCAUCCAUACAAGUUUCUAAAGAAAGAUCAUGGACAUUUGUGUACAUAUAUGUAUUAGAAUGAAUAGCUAACUAAGUACCAUAGAGACACAGGUAUCAGUGCAAGCAAUUGGCUAAGUAUGAUUUAUAAACACACCUUAUACUAUGUAUGCUUAGUAAUGUGUAGAUAGAAUGUUCUAUCGUUAAAAUGACAGUCAGAUGUCCUACGGACCCGGUUUAACGAUACUGUGACCUGAGCUUAGCCUGGUCACGGUAAGAUUAUUCUUUUUAAGUAAUGUGAAAUUAAGUCUCAAGAACACACAGAAAUCUAAAUAAAAAAAUGUAAAGCAAAGUAUAAUGAAAAAGGCAUCUAUAGAAGAAGCAUCACACUUAGACAAACACUGUAGAUAUAUGCAGAAAUGAAUUGAUACAGCCCUAAUUUUCAGAGUGGUAUGCUUUAUAAAGUUGUCUGGUGUUAAACUUAUAGGGUAUGUUCACAGUUUAUAUGAAUUGUUUUUCUUUGGAUCCUGAAGGUGCGAUAAAGAGUGUGGCAGUCAGUCCAGACAGUAAAUACUUUGCCAGUGGCUCCUAUGACAAAACUGUGCGGGUAUGGAGAACCAGAGAUGCAGCCCUAAUGCAUGAGCUCUCAGGUCACUCUAAGAGUGUUGAAGUGGUCGUCUUCUCCCCUGAUGGCCAGUACUUGGCCUCUGGAUCCUGGGACAGGACCGCCAUUCUGUGGGACAGGGAGAGAGGCGUACCAGUGAGAAUAUUUGUGGGGCAUGAAGGUCUAGUCCAGUCUAUAGCUUUCUCACAGGAUGGCAGAUGGCUUGCCACUGGGUCCUGGGAUUUCACAGUGCGACUCUGGACACUGAACAGUCCGGAUGGGGUGGACAAAGUGACCGUGCUGGCGGGACACAGGGGCAAUAUCCGGUCCGUGGUCUUCUCCAAGGACGGCAUGCUGGCCUCGGGGUCCUGGGAUAAGACCGUCCGUCUUUGGAAUCCCCGCAAUGGUCAGCCCCUCCACGUGUUGGAGGGCCACGAGGGCUGGGUGCAGGCCCUGGCCUUCUCCCCGGACGGCAUCUAUGUGGCCAGUGCCGGCGACGACGAGUCUGUCCGGAUCUGGGACGUAGCUGAGGGAACCUGCAUCAAUGUGUUAGAGGGGAGGACUGAUGUAGCGCAGCACUGUGCAUUCACGGCAGGGGGCGCUCUGAUUGCAUCGGGAGCCUGGGGAACCUCCAUGACUCUGACAUGAAUAUUGUUUAUUAAUACCCGACAUAAACUUGCUGACUUAUUGUACAUUUAUAUACGGCUUUGUUGAUCACACGUUUCCUGUUAUAAUUAUUCAGUGUUGUGGUGCAUGUAUCUUCCAGCGCGCUUUUAAUUUAUUCUAAUUUCUUGGCAAAUGCUGUAUGAAUAUAUAUAUUUAUAAUUAAAGAAAUAAAGAAUGUUCAC